AUCAUGUUGCUUCAGGACUUCAUUGAAGAGGACAUUGUGCUGGCUGUUCAUCACAUCAGAGUUUCCUGUGCAGGAGAUCAAUGCUUCACUUCAACAAAGGUGCCGUUCGUUUGUCUGAUAUCGGCGGCGAAAAUCUCAGAAGCGAAGAAGAAUCAGAGAUUGGAGGAGAGAAGUUGGAGCGCAAGAAAUAGGAGGCAGAAGAACUGG